rnacentral:tRNA from 1 species
GGAUAGUUGUCCGAACGGUAAGGAAGUGCACUGCUAAUGCAUCGAGUGUGAAAGCUCUUAUAGGUUCAAAUCCUAUACUAUCCG